CAAUAGCGUAUAUUAAAGUUGUUGCGGUUAAAAAGCUCGUAGUUGGAUUUCUGUUGGGAACGACCGGUCCGCCCAUUGGGUGUGUAUCUGGCUUGUUCUCGGCAUCUUCUUGGUGAACGUUGCUGCACUUGACUGUGUGGAGCGCUACCCAGGACUUUUACUUUGAGGAAAUUAGAGUGUUUCAAGCAGGCAUAUGCCUUGAAUACAUUAGCAUGGAAUAAUAAGAUAGGACCUCGGUUCUAUUUUGUUGGUUUCUAGAGCUGAGGUAAUGAUUAAUAGGGAUAGUUGGGGGCAUUCGUAUUUAACUGUCAGAGGGGAAAUUCUUGGAUUUGUUAAAGACGGACUACUGCGAAAGCAUUUGCCAAGGAUGUUUUCAUUGA
rnacentral:rRNA from 1 species